UUCAUUUCUGAUGUAUAAAUUUACAAUGUAUUUGUAUACGGUUUUUCCGAAGAACCAAAUGAUGGAGAAUAGCAAUGGACGUUGUCUUUGAUGUGGCAAAAGAAAUCAGGAAUCUCCAAGAAGUAAUUUCAAAUAUCAAAAUGGAUUAUGAGGAUGAAUUAGGAAAACUGAAAAGGGAGGUCCAGGAGUUGAGUUCAAAGAAAGAUGAAAGUCAAGCUAUUGUGGUUUAUCUACAAGUUGACCCGG